UGGCUCAGUGGUAGAGUGCUUGCCUUGCAUGCAUGAGGCCCUGGGCUCGAUUCCCCAG
rnacentral:tRNA from 1 species